AUAAGGGGAUGAGACGGAGCACGGACCAGCUCUAAAUGACUUUACUGUCUGGUGUGAGUCAUCCCAUCCCAUUUGAAAUACAUCAAAAACAAAGGACGUGGUGAUUGACUUUGGAAGGAACAUUACCGUGCACACACCAUCGCUGACAAAAGGAUUCGGACUACGAUGGACAUGAGCUGCAGCUCUUCGUCUCUCUGAAGGAAGGGAAACAUCAAACAGCUAAUACGACAAGGAAAAUAUAUCACAAUCAGCCACCCUCCCUUCACCGAUAAGGACAUGGCCCAGCUCCAAAACUCCCAGGCUCUGAAUCCCGGUACACCAAGGGGUCUGGUCCAGAAAGUGUGGUUCGACAUCCAGUUACAUCUGGGUCGAAGAGGAAAAGACGGGAACAGACAACUAAAGCCCAACGGCCUAAGCCUAAGGGGACCUGAGCCCUAGGACCAUGCCUCAGGACUACCUGACAUGACUCCUUGCUGUCCCCAGUCCACCUGGCCAUGCU